AUGUGGGUACAGUUACUGCAUAACAAGUACCUUCAGUCUAAACCCUUGGCCUAGGUUAUCGUUAGCCUCAAUGAUUCACCUUUUUGGAAGGGAUUGAUAAGAGUGAAAAUAAAUGUCUUCCAUAGAACAAAAUUCAUCAUUGGAAACGGUAAUUCUGCUAGACUCUGGGUGGAUGCAUGGCUAUGGGAGGCGCCUCUGGCCACACAAUAUCCGUCCAUGUAUAAUAUUGUACAACAUCGUAAGGACGCAUAUGUUGCUACAGUAUUACAGUCUUCACCUCUAAACAUUCAGUUCCGAAGGUCUUUAGUAGGAGACUGAUGGAACGAUUGGCUAAAUCUCGUACGACGGUUGAUGGACGUUCAACUCUCUAAUGAACCAGAUACGAUUCACUGGAGACUAUCGAUGAACGGUGUGUUUUUAGUGAACGAAAUAUGUAUAUGGCAACCGUGUGGCAGAUUGUGA
rnacentral:rRNA from 1 species